rnacentral:rRNA from 1 species
AAUGAACGUUGGCGGCGUGGAUUAGGCAUGCAAGUCGUGCGGCAGCAGGCCCCGCAAGGGGUGCUGGCGAGCGGCGAAAGGGAUAGUAAUGCGUAGAUUACCUACCCUCGGGACCGGGCUAGCUGCGGGAAACUGCAAUUAAUACCGGAUGACGUCUACGGACCAAAGGUGUAAUUCCGCCCGGGGACGGGUCUGCGUCCUAUUAGCUUGUUGGCGAGGUAACGGCUCACCAAGGCGACGAUGGGUAGCGGGUGUGAGAGCACGACCCGCAUCACUGGGACUGAGACACUGCCCAGACACCUACGGGUGGCUGCAGUCGAGGAUCUUCGGCAAUGGGCGAAAGCCUGACCGAGCGACGCCGCGUGCGGGAUGAAGGCCCUCGGGUUGUAAACCGCUGUCGGAGGGGAGGAAAUGUUGGGGGGAUCACUCUCCAGCUUGACCAAGCCUCGAAGGAAGGACGGGCUAAGUUCGUGCCAGCAGCCGCCGUAAGAC